CUGAGAUGGGGGCACACGGGCAAGGUAGAGAUCCCUGCCGUCUUCAAUUUCGUACGUGAGAUCCAUGAUCCAUCGGUUAACCAGACGAGAUUUGGGAUCGGUUUUUUCUUGGACUCCUCCCGAUUGCAAGGAUUCGAGUUUUCGGUGGAUUUUGAUUGCUAUGAUUUUGUAGGGCAUAGUCACCUCAGUAAUCGGGUGCCUGAUAUUGGCAUGCUGUGUGGAGAAGAAGGGGAUUUUCACCAACGCCUUCAGCUUUCUAUCACGAAUGUUUGCCACCAACCCUUUACCGGAAGGUCGAUCAACCAUUACUAUCGUCCCUCUGAACUUUUGAAGUCUAAACAUUGUUAUUAAUGUUGAUUUUUGAUGACUUGAUAUUGCAGCAUGUUGGAUUCAACGCUUGUGAUUAUGUGUCUCUACCUUGAACUACCAAGCAAGAAAUAGGAACAAACAACUGGGCAUGCGAUGCACCCUGAUUUCAGAAAGAAGUCUGUAAGGAGGACAAAUCACAGCGAGCAUCAAAGAAGAAGAUCCGUACAGAAGUUACUUGAUUGCCUAUUCAUGUGCAGCUAUAAAAUCAAAGUUCUGAUCAUGUACCCCAUUAAUGCAAGGGUGAGCGUGGAUGAGUCAGUUGAAUGACGGCAUGGACAACGCUGACGAGAAGGAAGCGGUGGAGGCUUGCGGUGAUCAAGAGCAGGUCUUGCACUCCUUGGUUGCUGUAUGGUUUGCGGGACGAACGAUUUUUGCCU